UCCUAGUACUGCGAGUGAAGCGGGAAAAGCUCAAAUUUAAAAUCUGAUGGCCUUUGGUUAUCCGAGUUGUAAUUUAGAGAAGCGUUUUCCGCGCUGGACCAUGCAUAAGUCUCCUGGAAUGGAGCGUCAUAGAGGGUGAGAAUCCCGUCUUUGGCAUGGAUCCCAGGGCUUCUGUGAUGCGCUCUCAAAGAGUCGAGUUGUUUGGGAAUGCAGCUCAAAAUGGGUGGUGAACUCCAUCUAAAGCUAAAUAUUGGCGAGAGACCGAUAGCGAACAAGUACCGUGAGGGAAAGAUGAAAAGCACUUUGGAAAGAGAGUGAAACAGUACGUGAAAUUGUUGAAAGGGAAACGCUUGAAGUCAGUCGCGUUGACCGAGACUCAGCCUUGCCUCGGCUUGGUGUACUUCUCGGCUGACGGGUCAGCAUCAAUUUUGAUCCUUGGAUAAUGGCAAGGGAAAGGUGGCACCUUUAGGUGUGUUAUAGUCCUUUGUCGGAUACAAGGGUUGGGAUUGAGGAACUCAGCAUGCACCUCACGGUGUCGGGGCCUCUGGCUCACGUUACAUGCUUAGGAUGCUGGCGUAAUGGCUUUAAACGACCCGUCUUG
rnacentral:rRNA from 1 species